CUGAUGCAGCAACGCCGCGUGAGGGACGACGGCCUUCGGGUUGUAAACCUCUUUUAGUAGGGAAGAAGGGAGCUUGCUCUUGACGGUACCUGCAGAAAAAGCACCGGCUAACUACGUGCCAGCAGCCGCGGUAAUACGUAGGGUGCAAGCGUUGUCCGGAAUUAUUGGGCGUAAAGAGCUCGUAGGCGGUUUGUCGCGUCUGCUGUGAAAUCCCGAGGCUCAACCUCGGGCUUGCAGUGGGUACGGGCAGACUAGAGUGCGGUAGGGGAGAUUGGAAUUCCUGGUGUAGCGGUGGAAUGCGCAGAUAUCAGGAGGAACACCGAUGGCGAAGGCAGAUCUCUGGGCCGUUACUGACGCUGAGGAGCGAAAGCGUGGGGAGCGAACAGGAUUAGAUACCCUGGUAGUCCACGCCGUAAACGUUGGGCGCUAGAUGUAGGGACCUUUCCACGGUUUCUGUGUCGUAGCUAACGCAUUAAGCGCCCCGCCUGGGGAGUACGGCCGCAAGGCUAAAACUCAAAGGAAUUGACGGGGGCCCGCACAAGCGGCGGAGCAUGCGGAUUAAUUCGAUGCAACGCGAAGAACCUUACCAAGGCUUGACAUAUACCGGAAACGGCCAGAGAUGGUCGCCCCCUU
rnacentral:rRNA from 1 species